UAUGGCCAUGUCAUGUUGAAACACCAGUUCCUGUUUGAUCACCAAAGUUAAGCAAUGUCAAGUCUGGUCAAUAGUUAGAUGGGUGACCAAUUGGGAAUACCAGGUACUGUAAG